rnacentral:lncRNA from 1 species
CAGAAGUGGCUCUCCUCCUCCCACUCCUCUUGUCCCACUUGCAGGGCAAACAUCUUCUCCUCCCCACCUCAACUUCACUCACCACAGAGCUUACAACUAACAAGUACUACAGAUUAGUCAAUUGGUAGCUUUCUGGUUUACUUUGCUCAUUUUUUCUCCUCUUAAUUGUCAUUACCACUCCUCACACCUCUAUCAUGAUUUCCAAGUUAGUUUAUUUGUAACCUGUUGGUCUUAGUAUAUUCCAUGAAAUCAUAAAAAUUACACACACGCUGGAAAUUGAUGUAAAGUCACUUUUGUGAAUCAUCAUCAUAUACAACCCAAAAAGCAAACAAAGACCAGUGUGUAAACGAAGCAGAAACCUUACCUCAUAAUACAGAGGGGCAAAAGGCUUAAUUCAAUAUUGGAGUUCAAGAAAUAUGAGGUCUUGAAAUGGUGUUAACCUCUCAAUUGUUGGAUAAGAAAGAGAAGAGGUGUUACUGGAUAAGAUAAUGGAUAGAGUGAGCAGAAGAAAAAAAAUGGUGGAAUGACUCACAUUACGAGCAUUAACUCCAUUGUCCUAGUAUGAUUCUAGGCUUUCUAGCAAUAGGAGAAAAUUCCAAGUGCAUACAAAGGUGUUCUACAUUUAAUUUCUAUACCACAUUUUACGUGGUAACAUGAUGAGAGCUAGGUAC